UGUUUUGUUACAUUUCACUAGCCAUUUAUUAAAUACUCUUCAAAUGUUUUCUUGUGUAUUUAAUAGCCAUGCUUAAUUUGUUGCUAGCUAUGGGUUUUGUGAUCCCUUCAUUUUUUGUAGUUCACCAUCAUUGAAUAGUUGGUCCCUAUUUAUUUUUUUCAGGAAGUCAUAUUUAUGUGUAUUUAUGUGUUUGACACAUAAAAGAAUCCAAGAGCUGACUCUCUUUUGCAUGCUGAGAUCAAUCUAAGGCCAUGAUAAUGCCAAGAACAACCACCUAGUGACUUCUCUAUUGCUCAGUUCCGGUUUAUGGAGCGACUACUUGUCAUCCAUGGGCAUUGGUGCUAUAAGAGAAUUACCCAAAUGUGAUUUUAUUGUGAGUAGGUGACUCAUGAGCACCUGCAAUGACUGGUAUUCCAAAUUCUGAACUCAACCUGCUGCAGUCAUCAUUUUGGAUAUUUUUGUUGAAUAUGGGAAUGAGGGAAGCAUUGUACUGCUCCAAGCCUGCUUAGAUCAAAUGAAAUUUCAGAGCAAAGACUUUCAGUCAAAGCCAGAUCUUCUAUCAACUAUCUUUAGAUA